GUGGUGCCGGUGUCUAGCGGCGCUGUUUAGAUCUGCAGCUGGGUGAGAUCACAGAGUGCGGCUAGGUCGACCUUGACGAAUUCAGCGUGUUGAGGUUCAUCAGCACGAUCCGACGGACUAAGAAGCAGAAUGGGCCUCUUGCGUGGCCUAUGGCAUCAGCCCGUCUUUGGGCUUCUGGGCAAAUAAAUUGGAAAGAGGCCUGGGCUUUAACUUUUU
rnacentral:lncRNA from 1 species